CUCAGUACAAGCUCCGGCAUAGUGAAACCGCGAAUGGCUCAUUAAAUCAGUUAUGGUUCAUUUGACGAAUGCCGUUUACAUGGAUAACUGUGGCAAUUCUAGAGCUAAUACAUGGACACGGGCUCCGACCUUUACCAGGGACGAGCGCACUUGUCAGAUCAAAAACCAAUCGGUGCGGCGGCGCUUUCGUCGCAAGGCGGGGCGUCGCGUCUUGCACCGUCCUCGUGGCGAAUCAUGACAAACUCUACGCUGACCGCACGGCCUUUUCGCGCCGGCGGCCUGUCUUUCGAGUGUCUGCCUUAUCAACUUUCGUUGGUGUGCUAAUCGCUUACCAAGGUGAUAACGGGUAACGGGGAAUCAGGGUUCGAUUCCGGAGAGGGAGCCUGAGAAACGGCUACCACAUCCAAGGAAGGCAGCAGGCACGCAAAUUACCCACUCCCGGCUCGGGGAGGUAGUGACAAGAACUAACAAUCCGAGACUCUUUCGAGGCCUCGGAAUUGGAAUGAGUACACUUUAAAUCCUUUAACGAGGAUCUAUUGGAGGGCAAGUCUGGUGCCAGCAGCCGCGGUAAUUCCAGCUCCAAUAGCGUAUACCAAUGCUGCUGUAGUUAAAAAGCUCGUAGUUGGAUCUGGCGCUCGGGCCCGCGAUGCGACGCACGUCGGCUAUCGCGUGUUUAUUGUUGCGCGUUUCGCGCGUCGUCUUUAACCGGGCGGCGCCGGGGCGCGUUGUCCGACGCACACCUCCCGGCUUUCCGCACGCGUGCUCUUAACUGAGUGCCUGCGGUGGACCGGAACGUUUACUUUGAAAAAAUUAGAGUGUUCAAGGCAGGCCUGUGUCGCCUGAAUAGUGGUGCAUGGAAUAAUGGAACAAGACCUCGGUCGCUGAUUUUGUUGGUUUCCGGGACGCGAGGUAAUGAUUAAGAGGGACUGCCGGGGACAUCAGUAUUGCUGCAAGAGAGGUGAAAUUCUAGGACUGUAGCAGGACUAACCAAGGCGAAAGCAUUUGUCUAGAAUGUUUUCAUUAAUCAAGAACGAAAGUCGGGCGAUGGAAGGCGAUCAGAUACCGCCGUACUCCCGACCAUAAAUGAUGCCGUCUGACAGUCUGCGGGAGUGUUACCAUGACUCCGCAGGAAGCUGCCUGGGAAACCUGUGAGGGUUUAGGCUCCAGGGGGAGUAUGGUUGCAAAGCUCAAACUUAAAGGAAUUGACGGAGGGGCACCACCAGGAGUGGAGCCUGCGGCUUAAUUUGACUCAACACGGGAAACCUCACCCGGUCCGGACACCGUUAGGAUUGACAGAUUGAGAGCUCUUUCUUGAUUCGGUGGUUGGUGGUGCAUGGCCGUUCUUAGUUGGUGGAGUGAUUUGUCUGGUUAAUUCCGAUAACGAACGAGACUCUGGCCUACUAAAUAGUCCGCCGUUUUUUCGUUUCUUGCUCGGGCCGGCGUGGAACGGGUGCGUGCGGGGUUUGUGUCGGUGUCGCGCGCUCUCGGGCGUCGUGGCGCCGGCUCUCAUUUCCUCUCGCAUCUGUUUUCGCGUCGCGCUCGUGCUGACGCCCGACGGCGCCGACUUCUUAGGGGAACUAGCGGCGUUUAGCCGCACGAAAUAGAGCAAUAACAGGUCUGUGAUGCCCUUAGAUGUCCGGGGCCGCACGCGCGCUACACUGAAGAAGACAACGUGUGUUUGCCCUUCUCCGACAGGAGCCGGGUAACCCCGUGAAUCCUUUUCGUGCUAGGGAUUGGUGCUUGCAAUUGUUCCCCAUGAACGAGGAAUUCCCAGUAAACGCGAUUCAUAAGAUCGCGUUGAUUAUGUCCCUGCCCCUUGUACACACCGCCCGUCGCUACUACAGAUUGAAUGAUUUAGUGAGGUCUUUGGACCGGCCCCUGCAGGGCCUCGCCUCGUGCGGGUCGUGCGGGUGUGCCGGGAAGACGCCCAAACUUGAUUAUUUAGAUGAAG
rnacentral:rRNA from 1 species